GCCACUGAUUGUCCAAACGCAAUUCUUGUACGAGUCUGCGGCCAACCGAGAAUUGUGGCUGGACAUCUGUGGC
rnacentral:pre_miRNA from 10 species